rnacentral:rRNA from 1 species
UAGGGAAUCUUCCGCAAUGGGCGAAAGCCUGACGGAGCAACGCCGCGUGAGUGAUGAAGGUCUUCGGAUCGUAAAACUCUGUUAUUAGGGAAGAACAAAUGUGUAAGUAACUAUGCACGUCUUGACGGUACCUAAUCAGAAAGCCACGGCUAACUACGUGCCAGCAGCCGCGGUAAUACGUAGGUGGCAAGCGUUAUCCGGAACUAUUGGGCGUAAAGCGCGCGUAGGCGGUUUUUUAAGUCUGAUGUGAAAGCCCACGGCUCAACCGUGGAGGGUCAUUGGAAACUGGAAAACUUGAGUGCAGAAGAGGAAAGUGGAAUUCCAUGUGUAGCGGUGAAAUGCGCAGAGAUAUGGAGGAACACCAGUGGCGAAGGCGACUUUCUGGUCUGUAACUGACGCUGAUGUGCGAAAGCGUGGGGAUCAAACAGG